rnacentral:tRNA from 1 species
GCUUCCUUGGUCCAAUGGUUAGGAUUCCACCCUUCCAAGCUUCAAUGCAAGAUUAGGUGGAGGUUCGAGUUCAAUUCUCGAAGGUUGCA